AGCAGCCGCGGUAAUUCCAGCUCCAAUAGCGUAUAUUAAAGUUGCUGCAGUUAAAAAGCUCGUAGUUGAAUUUCGGGACCAUCAUGUCGGUCGUGCCUCGGUACGUACUGGCAUUGUUGGUUUCUCCCUUCUGACGAACCAUGAUGUCAUUUAUUUGGUGUCGUGGGGAAUCAGGACUGUUACUUUGAAAAAUUAGAGUGUUUAAAGCAGGCUCACGCUUGAAUACAUUAGCAUGGAAUAAUGAAAUAGGACGUUUGAUUCUAUUUUGUUGGUUUCUAGGAUCGACGUAAUGAUUAAUAGGGAUAGUUGGGGGCAUUAGUAUUCAAUUGUCAGAGGUGAAAUUCUUGGAUUUAUUGAAGACUAACUACUGCGAAAGCAUUUGCCAAGGAUGUUUUCAUUAAUCAAGAACGAAAGUUAGGGGAUCGAAGACGAUCAGAUACCGUCGUAGUC
rnacentral:rRNA from 1 species